rnacentral:rRNA from 1 species
GGAUGAGCCCGCGGCCUAUCAGCUUGUUGGUGGGGUGAUGGCCUACCAAGGCGACGACGGGUAGCCGGCCUGAGAGGGUGACCGGCCACACUGGGACUGAGACACGGCCCAGACUCCUACGGGAGGCAGCAGUGGGGAAUAUUGCACAAUGGGCGGAAGCCUGAUGCAGCGACGCCGCGUGAGGGAUGACGGCCUUCGGGUUGUAAACCUCUUUCAGCAGGGAAGAAGCGAAAGUGACGGUACCUGCAGAAAAAGCACCGGCUAACUACGUGACAGCAGCCGCGGCCG